GAUGAACGCUGGCGGCGUGCCUAAUACAUGCAAGUCGAGCGAACAGACGAGGAGCUUGCUCCUCUGACGUUAGCGGCGGACGGGUGAGUAACACGUGGAUAACCUACCUAUAAGGCUGGGAUGACUUCGGGAAACCGGAGCUAAUACCGGAUAAUAUAUUGAACCGCAUGGUUCAAUAGUGAAAGACGGUUUUGCUGUCACUUAUAGAUGGAUCCGCGCCGCAUUAGCUAGUUGGUAAGGUAACGGCUUACCAAGGCAACGAUGCGUAGCCGACCUGAGAGGGUGAUCGGCCACACUGGAACUGAGACACGGUCCAGACUCCUACGGGAGGCAGCAGUAGGGAAUCUUCCGCAAUGGGCGAAAGCUUGACGGAGCAACGCCGCGUGAGUGAUGAAGGUCUUCGGAUCGUAAAACUCUGUUAUUAGGGAAGAACAAAUGUGUAAGUAACUAUGCACGUCUUGACGGUACCUAAUCAGAAAGCCACGGCUAACUACGUG
rnacentral:rRNA from 1 species